rnacentral:rRNA from 1 species
UACGGAGGAGGCAAGCGUUAUCCGGAAUAAUUGGGCGUAAAGCGUCCGUAGGUGGCUGUUCAAGUCUGCCGUUAAAGACCGGGGCUUAACCCUGGAAAGGCGGUGAAAACUGAACGGCUAGAGUGCAGUAGGGGUAGAGGGAAUUCCCAGUGUAGCGGUGAAAUGCGUAGAGAUUGGGAAGAACACCGGUGGCGAAAGCGCUCUGCUGGACUGCAACUGACACUGAGGGACGAAAGCUAGGGGAGCGAAUGGG